GUUCAAUAUAAAACUGCAAUUUAUAAUUAAAACUCUAAAAACAAUCUUACUUAACAAAUCAUAUUAGAAAUCCUUAGGUUUCCUAGCUCCCUGUGAAUUUGAUCCCUAAGUAAUACAACUCGACCUCUUUUUUGAGAGAGUAUAAAUCCCUAAGUUUCUUACAUAAUUUUUUUUUCUUGGAUUUUCAGGUACAUGCCCAGCAGUACCAGAAGCGACAAGAAAACUCAACUGCUAUUCUCACCAGAUCCUGCAAGUUUGGAACGUUCAACCCGCAAGGAAGCGCGCUCCUUAUCGACCGACAACAACACUUCUGUGUCGCUCGAUUCUGGUCAACCACCGUCGAUCCAGACACCAGUCCCGUCGACCGAUUCUCGCUCACCCCUGUCGACCGACAACACAAACCUUCCGUCGACCGACAUCAUCCACCCGACAUCGAUCGACUUUCCAUCUCGGACAUCGAUCGAUACUGAGCCGCGAGACAUGGUUGCGCCUUUGAUACUUGUUUGGGACAACAAUGGAGACCUCCAUGACCAGGAGGGUCAUCUGCGUAAUGCAUCAGAUCAGAGGAUAAAUGCUCAGGGGGAUGCAAUCCCUGAGCCUGAUGCUACUGCUACAGGUACUAUCUUACCUAUAGAUGAAGCUGCGCAACCCAAAACGUUGGCUGAUUAUGACUUUCCAGAUCGAUAUUACACAAACAGAUCAGCCAUCCUUCCUCCCACCAUUGAGAUGGAUUUUGAGUUGAAAGCGCAGUACUACACACUUGUGGGACAGCUACCCUACCAUGGAUUAUCCCACUUGCAUCCUAUGGAUCACCUGGAGAGGUUCGAGGAUCUGAUUUCUGCUAUUAGAGUCGAGGGAGUCUCUAAGGACUACUUGUUAUGCAAGCUCUUCAGGUACUCACUUGCUGGAGAAGCUCUGCAUUGGCUCAAGCAGUUACAACCAAGAUCUCUUAAAUCCUAGAGCGACAUCAAGAAUGCAUUCUUAUGCAAUUUCUUUGAUGAAGCGCGUGCUGAAGACUUGAGGAGCAAGAUUGCUACAUUCACUCGGGAGCCUGCAUAAUCAUUCAGAGGUUUUUGGAUCAGAUUCAAGUCUUACUAGAGAGACUGUCCAAACCAUGGAUUCAAUGAAGUACAACUGCUCAGUACUUUCUACAGAGGCAUCGCGGUGCAGUACCAGAUGGCUCUUGAUGCUUCCAGCAAUGGAAACUUCAACACCAGGACAUAUUCAGAUGAUGGAGAGGAUCCUAUGGAAGAGGAUAGGGUUUCUACUGGAAGAACCCUAAGGAGAAGAAAGGAAAAAGUGGCGAAACAUUUGAAGAGGGGGGCUAAUGAUAAGGAAAAGGAAAAUUUCCGCAAGAGAGUCUUCUUGAUUCCUAUAGAUAAGCCAUUCAAGGAUGCUUAUUACACCCACAGAUUGUGGAUGUUCUUCAGAGAAACCAGAGAUAAAGAAGAAGACAUCAGGAGAAUGUUCUGUGAAGCUUGAGAAAAGAUGAGAAUGAGGAUUACAUUGAAGAAGAAGAAGAGUGAUCAUGGGCAAUUUGCAAUACCAUGCACGGUGAAGGGUAUUGAAUUCCCACAUGUCUUUUGCGACACAGGAGCUUCAGUCAGCAUCAUACCUAGGGUUAUGGCAGACCAUCUGGGUCUCCAGGUGGAGCCUUCACAGGAAUUAUUCACUUUUGUGGAUUGUUCGCAGAAGAACUCAGGAGGAAUUGUGAGAGACCUAGAGUUGCAGAUUGGUAAUGUCCUAGUUCUAGUUGAUUUCCUUGUCAAUAGUGGGAGCAGUGUGCAACUUGCAAACUAACCAGUUGUGUCUAACACUCAUUGAUCCUAAUGCCCACUACGACCCUAUCCCAGUCAAGAAACCACAAACAAUCCCUAGAAGAAUCAAUGAUCCAGGAAUCAUUGCAGCUUGCCACUGUGGAGCCGAGUACGAAUCUGACUACUCGAAAUCAAUCGACACUCAUCCAAAAACAUCGAUCGACACAAGCCAUCCUAAAUCGAACGACAAAGUAGAAGAAAUCGAUCGACACUUGUCCAUAUGAGUGGGAGGACGACUACUACAACCCCACUAUUGACGCUUACACUAAACAAAAUAUUCAUACAGACGAGUAUGAUGAAGACUAUGGGAUUUCACGGCCCUUACUUCCGCCGCAGUUUUUGUGAUGUAAUCGCGAAGAUCGCGGAUGUCCAACGUCUCGCCAGCAUAUUUCCAAGCUUGUCGGCGUUUACUGCGAGUGAUCUUGGUUUGCUUUUCAGCAAGCUCUUCUUGUUUGUUCCAAUAGAGGAUUUCCUCCUCUUUCGUCAUUGGCUUAUCGAACGGAGAGCUUUCCCGAGCAGAUCGGCUUCUGGUCCUUCUUGGAUGUUUGUCGGCGUCCUCCUCGGUAUCGUUGGAGACGUCGCUGGGAUCCAAGUCGACGUGCUCGAUUUCAUUAGCCUCCGAGUUCUUCGCGGGAGGUGGAGGACUCUCAGAGUUCCUUUUAUCGGGAGGGGAUUUUUCGCUAGGGUUUUGGCCCGAAGGUCGUUCCCGCGACGUUCCAGGCCUGUUGAGGGGGUUGCGAAGUCGAGUUUUUUCCCAUGAACUUUAGUGGUUACGCGGGGGCGUAUUGCUCGAGUCCUUGCCGUUAAGGUUUCGACUUGUUUGGUCAAGGUGCUUAUAACCUUAUCCUGUUCUUCCGACCUUUUUUCAUAGGUGGCGAACAUCUUUUUAAACUCCUCGAGCGCUGCGGCAUUGGCUGCUGCGUUGGCCGCGGAUACGUCCGCUGCUGAAGUGUGAAGAUCAGUUCCGCUGCCUCCGCUGAGAGGAGUUUGCAUGUUGUCCGCGUCGUUAGUUGACAUGUCUAGUUGAGCGUGAUGUGGUUGAGAGUUAGAUUAAUCCAUACCCCCCCCCCUCCUUCAAGCUCCAAACUGUGAGAACCGAAAUUCGCACUAUCGAUUUCCAUUUAAAUUAGGAAAGUAGGAGAGCCCGUGUAAUAACCUUCUUUAAAGAGUAAAACGCAGGUAAGGAAAAAUCUUGUAACAGCCGAGAAAAUUACUCAAGUAAGUGGAAGUCGGAUUGAUCUUUUCCCGUGGAUGUUGUGGAUCCCAAGGUACAUAAGAAAAAUUUAGAAAGUCUUAGAUUAAUAGUUUUCCAUCUGAAGAAAUAAAUUCUUCAGGAAGUUUAGUGGAUUGAAUAUGCUCGCGGUUCGGCCUAGAACGUCCUAGUCGGACGAGAAAAUUAAUCGAAAAUUUAUUAUAAGGCCUUAAGAUAGAAAUGACCUUAGAGUUAUUUUAGAAAUGUUUUGGUCUAAUAAAUCUAGGUUUUUGUCAAGGAGAAACAUUUCCGCCAGCUCGGAUAAGCUUAUAACACGUUCGGGAUUUAAAUAUGGCCUAUUCAGGCCCAUCUACGAUGUGUUAAGCAUAUCCGGAAGCUUCUGGAGGAUGCAGCUGCUUGUCUACCUCCUUAAGCAGCUAGACAUGUGUUACUCCUUUACUGGAGAAUCCUCCAAGCAGCUCUUGCUUAUGUCCUAUUGGUUGAAUUGGUGGCUGGGCACAAAACUUGUUUUAACUGGACAGAUUUGUGGCUGCACACCAAUCUCUCUCCAAUUGGUUGCAUGGGGCACCCAGGACACCUCCUGCUUGCUAUGCACGACCAAAACCCUCCCAUGAGCUCAUUCUCCAGCCUAUAAAUAACAGACCACCCCCCCCCCCUUAGUUAUUUCUCAUGCUUAGUACCCUAACGAUAGCAGCUCAAAAAAGUCGAAACCCUAAGAUUUCUAAAGCUCUAGAGUUUUCUGAUAAAAGUUUAAAGUGAAGCCGGCCGCGAGAUAGAAGCGUUUCCAGUCCAAAACUUUCAUCUAAGUGUUGAGGUGAGUCUCGGUUAUGGGUUAUGAUUGUUGUGUGUGCGAUUAGCGCCUGCAAAACAAGAGUAUUGGUUGAUGCAUUGCUAGGUUGCGCGUUGAGAUAUAUAAUGAUAUGAUAAUGAUUGAUGUUUGUGAAAGAUAUUGAGUUAUAUCGUCGGGCUUCGGCUCGAGGGGUAUAACAUGAUUGUGAUACAUUGAUGUUGUGUUGCAUAUACUUAUGUCAUUGCAUUAUAUUGUUUGGGCCUCGGCUCAGAUAAUAUAACAUGUUUGAUCAUAUCUUAACGGGGAAACCCGUAAAUCCACGGACUUGAUCCGUGAGAGUCCGACACUCGGGUGGAGUGUUGUGAGAGUCAUUGGUAUCCACUCGAGGCCCGUGCCUUGUCCGGGGCCUUACCAAAAUUAGUUCCGGACAGGACGCGAAGACACGUGUGAUAGGGUUAGCUACCCUCGACCGUGUAGCUGCAUGACGAUGCGGCAAGUGUGUUAUCCGGGCCAUCGGCUUUUUAGACUUUGUGUUUAGGGUCAAUGGGCGCAAAAAGGGAUGUGUUAUGGACUUCGUAUCGAGAUAGGAACCAAUGGCGAGAGGCAGUCCUCGAUGAUCGAUAAUGAUCUAACCACUCGUGAAGAGUGGAUGCUUGUUUACAUGAUUGCUUUAUUUUUGCAUUGCAUAUUUCUUAAUAUAAUUGAUCCUUGUUGCUUAAUGUUUGAUGCAUAAUGGGGGGAUAAAUAAUUGUUAGGAAACCCGACUCACUGAGCAAAAUAGUUGCUCAUUAGACUCUUUGUUUUGCAGGUAACCCGUAGUAGUAGGUUCCAUUUGGGAUCAGAGGAGCACAAAGCUGUUGGUGUAGAUUUGCUACCUUUUGCAAACAUGUAAGUUUUGUAAUAUGUAAGAUAUGGUUUUGAACUUCGGCCGAGCAUGUAUAAAGUUUUGAUGUGGUUGAAUUUAAAGUAUAUGAAUAAGAAAAGGUUUGUGAAAUGCUUGGAUUCCAUAUGAUACUAGACCUAGUCCGGGACGAACUAACUAACUGUUUCAAACUCGGGUUGCAAAGCCUUAACUUGGAAUCGCUAGGAAACCUGUUCUUGGACAUAUGAUCUUAGGAUUUCGGAUCUGAUCUGGGAACCUCGGAUCAAAUGUUCGGGCACGUGAUAGUAGUAUCUUCGAUCUAGUUAGAGUUCUUUAGUUCAUCGUGCAUGUUCUUGUUUGAUUGGUGCAUGGCAAACUAAUUAACUUUUAUUUAUUCCGGAUCAGGGGUGUUACAGCCCUAGUUUCCCAAAUGUCCCAGAUAUCUGCUAAUACCACACGCCAAGCAAUCAGAAGACGAAACGAGAACAGUAAUAAAAUAAGAAAUCGAAAAAGAGAGCAAGAUAGUUCUUAUUCCGAAUCUGCGUUUGAGCGUUUACAACAGAGUAAGUGCAUGGGCUACAAGAGCUGUCGGCGAGAUUCCUAGUUCUAAAAAACACCUAAGACGGCAAAAACCUAAUUGAGUCGCAGCUCGAAUAGCAAAAUUAGAAAGUUGCCUAAAAUCGCUCUAAGUGCUAAGUUUUCUGCGUCAAAGUUCUCUCCCCAUGUCUCGCGCCUAGGACUCCUUAUAUACUCCCUCUAGGUCGGUUUACGCUUUUCCCCUUCUGCCCUUAAGCCGUCAUAGCCAAAAAUGGAGAUAUUCCAUUUUUACCGAUCUCCGUAAUUAUCUUCGAAAACUUCGUAUUUAUCCACGGAAACUUGACAUUUAUCUUUCCUUGUGAACCAAGCGUAAACCGUCCUACGGUUUACGGGCUUUUGGUUAAUAAAUCGUAAAGUGGGCUUCGAGUCAUGUCUUAGGUCCCUUUGGCCGUCUUUUGGCUCGAAGCGUUUAUUACGGUUUCCUUCGAUAAAAACAAACUUUCUGCGGUUUUUAUCGUAAACUUUGAUUGAUGACUUCAAAUGUCGAGAAACAUGAAAUGGGUUUGCUACGGUCUUCGAGAGAUUGCAUCAAAGAGUAGACGAGAAUGCAUAGAAUCGUGUCAUAUUCGACGUUUCGGAAAAGCUCGGUCGCUACAUAGCAGCUGAACGGCACGCACGCUUGGUCGCUACGUAGCGACAGAGCUUGGCUCGAGCUUGGUCGCUAUGUAGCGACCGAGCGGGAGGUGCGCUCAGUCGCUACGUAGCGACCAGGCAGUGUGCAUGUUCGGUCGUUGCGUAGUGACUGAGCUUGGCUUGUCCGCGUUCCGAUCAUGACACUCGAACCUAUCCGUGGCUGGUUUAGAUAUGUUUCCGUUACCUUGGGACAGCUUGUGUUUGAUCCACCGAGACAUGAACAAGGUUUUAUCUCGAGAUCAUGUGUCGUGACAUUCUUUUUACCAAGCAUAAUUGUCGCAGAAAGACACUCACACUUGUUUUUUGUUGAGGUUUGGAUAUUAACAUCGUCGUAACCGUUUUCCACCCCAACACUCUAUCCUAUUUUUAAUAUCUUAUUUAAGUAUUAUUCAGACCAUCAUAACUAUGUGUUUCAUGAAUAUGUCUGAGUAGUCUUUGUUGUUAGGUUUAGGUUUCUCAAUAGGUUGGUAAAUGUAAUACUGACACAAACAAUUGUUAGGGUGUUUAGAAAUAUAGUUCUUCAUCUAGUUGUUCUUAAAGCUAAGUAUAGGAUUAAUUACCUUUUAAACUUAGAUCUGAGGAUUAAUUGAGAUCAAGCCAUUGCGUGACUCAAUACCUGAAAUUAGCUAGUAUGAUCUAACUGACUAGAUACAGACGAGAGUUGGUCUAGUGAGUUAGAGAAUAUAAAUCAAACCUGUCCAUAAAACUUUCUGGAAGAAGUCUCGAUCGACGCAGCGAUAGCCCUGUCAAUCGAUAUUUUGAAAGGUGUAUCAAUCGAUAUUCAUAACGAAUUAUCGAUCGAUACUUUCUCGUGAUUAACAUAUGAGAGUUGAAAUCCGAGAUCCAGAUUAGACAAUCAAAUAGAUUAUAUCUUAGUUUGAAUUCAAGAAAAAUUAAUAUCAAUAAACCCCUAAAGACCCAACUUAAGUAUUACUUAUCAUACCUGAGAACAUACCUGAAUCUAGCUAUUCUCCCAACUGUUAACAACCUAAAAUCAAAUCAAUCGAGCAAUUAUUUUGCUCACCAAUUCAUUACUGCUUUAAAACAAAUAAUUCAUUUAAUCUGGCCUUAAUUCGAAUACUAUAAAUCUAUUGUGUAAUCCUAGAGUCUCUGUGGAUUCGAUUCCUAAGUACUACAUCUGAACCUUUUAUUUGAGAGAGUCAUUCACUCCUUAGGGUAAUUUGAGUGAUAUCAAAUUUGGCGCCGUUGCCAGGGAUUCUUUCUUAUUACCAUUAGAUUAAGUUUUGAAUUUAGUCUAGAUUUUGUUACUGAAUCUGCUUAAGUUUUUCCUCUUUCUCUGCUGACACAUGUACUUAAGAUGGAAGACAUGAAUUUCUGCUCGAAAUCGACCGACACUCAGACAACAACAUCGAGCGACGGGUCGACAAAAAAAUU